rnacentral:rRNA from 1 species
GCAUAUCAAUAAGCGGAGGAAAAGAAACCAACAGGGAUUGCCUUAGUAACGGCGAGUGAAGCGGCAACAGCUCAAAUUUGAAAUCUGGCACCCGCCCGAAUUGUAAUUUGUAGAGGAAUGUUCGGCAAUGACAUUGGUCCAAGUUUUCUGGAAUGGAACAUCUUGGAGGGUGAGAAUCCCGUACGAUCAAUGCUCUGCGCUAUGUGAACUUCCUUCGAAGAGUCGAGUUGUUUGGGAAUGCAGCUCAAAAUUGGUGGUAAAUUCCAUCUAAAGCUAAAUAUUGGCCAGAGACCGAUAGCGCACAAGUAGAGUGAUCGAAAGAUGAAAAGCACUUUGGAAAGAGAGUGAAACAGUACGUGAAAUUGUUGAAAGGGAAGCGCUUGCAAUCAGACUUGUUACUUUUGUUCCCCCUCUGGGCUUACUCAAAAGUGUCAGGCCAACAUCAGUUUUGGCGGUUGGAUAAAGGUUUAGGGAAUGUGGCUCCUCGGAGUGUUAUAGCCCUUUUCAUAAUACAGCCUGCCGGGACUGAGGUCAGCGUUCGCUAGGAUGUUGGCGUA